CUUCACAAGGCUCUCCUCUUUUGGCAUACCAGGAAACCGAAACAGUCAACGGGCUGAAUCUACUCCGCAGAUAAGCCCAGAAAAGCAACAAGGUCUUCGCACGUCGCAAAAGGAAGAAACCGUUGUUCUUGUCACUGAGGGACCACUGUAAGCCUUGAAUGUUCUCCCACGGAAACCGACAUCUUGCUUUCCCGAGAGGUCGCUUCUCCAGUAGAGGGGGCAAGUCUGUUUUACUGGCUUCUGUGGGUCCUCUAAGAUCUGGUGGGGACUCAGAAAGGGUUCGUGGAACUGAAUCCUGUAGGGUGGGGCUUCCACGUGGCAAGCUGUCUGCUCUGAUGAAAGAAAAAGUGGAAAUGAUGACCUGGCCACCUUGUUCAAGUUCUGCCUUCACUGCUUGUCAGCAUUGCAAUCAUGAGCGAAUCAUGGCACCAACCUAUCCAAGCUUCCCCCCUUUUCACCUGUAAAAUGAGCAGCUCCUGAUACUGAAGAUACUCACAGAGUUACAAUGUUCAAGAGAGAGUAUCCACAUGUAAAAACAAGUGUCCCUUAUAAACAUACAGUACGAUAGAAAUCUGAAGUCAAGUUAGGAUGAUAUUAUAUAGUGGGAGAGUAGUGACUCUCAGUUUUCCACCUGAUUCCCCGAUUAGGGCUGCCAUUGCUUCAGAGACCCUGCCCGAAGAUGCUGGCUUUGGGAUUGCAAGUUUCCUGUGGGGCAUGAAGAUUCUAAGCCCAAGAAGAUUACCGAUCACUAUCAUUCAGACCAGUGUUGGCGGCCAUUGUCUCUUCAGGAAUUCAGGAAUUGAUUUAGGGAGAGAGAGAGUCCAUUUAGGCCAGGUCUUGAAGGACAAGUAAGAUUUCUCCAGGAGGGGCAGGAAGGGGAAGUGGUCUUGGAAGACACAGGAACAAAGGUCCAGAGGUCGACAAUGACGGGGCUCAUCCGUAAUUUUCUAAACAACUGGACUCAGAGGAUAGAUGUAGUCAAGUGAUUCGGUCUCAGAUUUAACUGAGUUUUAUUGACAAUCUCUCCUUAGUAAGCACCGGCCUGGGGAUUUCACGUAUAUCACCUCAUUUAACCCCCCAACAAGAUGGUAUGAUAGUUGUCAAUACGCCUUUUAAAAAAAAGAUUUUAUUUACUUAUUUUUAGAGAGAGAAGGAGAAACAUGAACAUGGGAGAGAAACAUGAAUCGGUUGCCUUUCAUACACUCCCCGACUGGGGAUUGAACACGCAACUGAGAAAUGUGCUCUGACCGGGAGUCGAACCGGUGAUCUUUGGCCUUGUGGGAUGCUGCCCAACCAACUGAGCCACACCAGUCAUGACCAUGAUUAUGCCUCUUUUACAGAUGAUGUGUGGGUACACAUGCAGCUGACCACAGGACCACACAGAUCAAGCAGAAGACUGCAGUACAUUGUUUGAAACAAAAUACACAUCUGAGUCCACAUUGAGCCUAAUUCUCAAGUUUUGCUUCAUGGAAAUGGAUGUUCAGAGAGAGCUAGGGACUUACCCAGUGGACACAGAGUGGCUCUCCAAUACACUGGGAUUCAAAUGUGGGUUUUCUGAAUCCGAGUCUGGUGACUUUUCUACUGCGUGGUCUUCCUGUUAGAGAAAUUGGAAGAGAAACCUGGAAUGAUAAGUAUGGCGAAAUUACAAAUACUCUUCAAGAUGAGGAUUUAGACGGUAUUCAGAGACUAGCUGAGACCUUAGAGCGGGAUGGCGGAAGCCUGAGCUUAGCGGGUGGGGUCAGUGAGAAUUUCCGGCACGUGGUUAAGACAGUGAUUGGGAAGGAGCAAGGCAGUGUCAGAAUGACCCCAAACAGUAAUGGGAUGUGGAAAAUGGCUACGGGCAGAGCCAAGGAGAGAAAUCAAUGAAAGAUGAUAGAUUCCUGGACUACUGGGCCCUUUCUUCAACUACCCUCCCUAUCCUACUGAACAAAAUGAUGCAGAGGGUAGUGAAAACCAUGUGAAUGGUUCGAGAGAAGAAAAUGAAAAUCCCAUGACGGAACCCCGAGAUGCCUAUUCAACACAAUUCAUCUAUGAAGAGCCCACUUCGGGGCUGGAGACCACUGUGGAUUCUGAACUCUAUCAGCCAUGAAGAUGGGGAGGGGCUCCGAUUUUCAAUACCAAAAAGUAUAUGAUCAGUCCCAGUGAGGCAAACAUCUGAGUUUGGACACUGCAUUUUCUGCUCAGUGAAACCCUUUGACCUAAACAAACUGUAAUCAAAGUCAUAGUCCUGCCAUCCAGUAUCACAGACGUAAAAGAGAUCGAAACUGGCGUGUGAUACUAUUGCUUUCUUCAUUUCAUAACCGCAAGGCAAUGCACUGAUCACAGAGCGCAUCUGUGUGCACAGGAGCCUCCUGUCCAGGUGGCAGGCCCAGUGGGUCCCAGAUCCCCCACUUUCCAGCUUGUCUGUUGCUAUUUGCUAUUGCUCAACCCUCUGGUCAGCAACGAUUCCCGAGGGUGGACCAGAGUUUCCGAAAGUUCUGAAGGAGAAAAUUUCAUCAGCAAAGUAAUCAUUUCUGCUGGGAUGGAAAAAAAAAGGAGGCCAGUGUGAAUGACAAAACAGCUGUGGACCACCAAAAAAGUCAACUGGAAUUGGACGGGGAUAGACCGGGAAAAGAAAGAAAGGGAAAAUUGUUCCGAAGGCAUAGAUUUAAAGGGAAAAUGAAUCAGAAAAGAUUUCUGAAGUGUUAGAAUGCACUGCCUAAUAACUUUAAAUAGUCCAUUGAGUCUUCCGGAAUUUUUUUUUUGUUCUUCUUCAAGAAUAAUCUGCUUACAUCGUUAAGACCCGAGCUAAGCUCAGUAACACAAAUUACCAGAUGUUGUAACCCCUAGUUUCUCCAUCAAAAGACCAACCACCAAGCUUGUUGAAAGAGAGAGGUCAUUGUCCCUCCCUAGCUAUAAAACUAUUUUUGCAACUCCUAACAAAUGAAACGAGAAUACCUUUCAGCUGUCCGAGGAACCUGCGGCCCACCCCUUCCAAGUGUCCCUGGUUUGCUUUGUGAUUUUCUAAUAACGCACUCAUGUGUAAGCUAAUAACAUGAACAGAGGGAAAAUGAAGAGACUGAAGGAAAAAAGAGGGAAAAAGCAGAAUGAAUUAGGGCAAUUGAGGUCGCUCUGUUUCAUUUUUGCUGGGAGGAUUUGAGCCUUCGUUUAUACCUUAUCGCUUAUUCCACAAUUUACGAUAAAAUGAGAUGUGACUCCAUAGUUAUUGUCCUGCUCUCGCCCAUUGGACAUGCAUACAUAGAAUUCAUUUCAGAUUUAAACACUAUCUUAAUUAUACACCGAAUACAAUGGACAACCUAUUGGAAUCUCUAAAUUGCAUUCUCAGAAAUAGUUUCAUUUUUAUCACAUUUCUACUUAUGACAUAUUGGGUAUAAUAAUGCUCAGGGAAUAGUCCUUUUUUUUUUAAUGCAGUACCUUAAUUAUGCCUAAGUAUUUUCCAUUCAACAGCUAAUUGUUGGUUUUUUUUCUGACUUACAAGUUUGAGGAGUUUAACUGUAUGUCGUGCCUCAUAAUAUUUUUCAUGAGGUUCUGCCUAUUAAUCAGGAAAUCUUCAUGUUUUUAAAUCACCUAUAAACGUGUUACACAAUGACGAUAUUACAUGCAACUUCCUAUUUUUUUUAAAAGUAGUGUGACUGUUGUUUGUACUUAGAAACUUUUCCGACAAAAGCCACGCAGCAAAUUGGAAAAAUUGCGAGACAUAUUCACAUUGUGUUUUAAAUGAAGUGUACAGUUAAUAAAAUAUCAAAUGUAGUUUUUAAAGAAAACAUAUGUGUACAUGAACCUAAAAAGUUUAGUCUUAUGUUUAUAUUUAUUUGCCAUAAACAGAGAAAAUUGCCGGAAAGAAAAGUUAUGUACGUGACAAAACCUAUAGUUUUAGAGUUAGUAUAGUCCUUACAAGGGUAAUGUGAGUUAAUGUAACAAUAUAAGUCCUAAUUGUCAGAAUAUGACAUGAUGUAUUUUAUUAAAACAUUGAUUAAUAUUAAUAUGACAUUUUAAAAUAUAAACAAUAAUCAAGUUUAGAAAACUGGUAUUAGAAAUUAUAGACAACAUAUGACUUUGUAAUCAAGCAUGUAUUUUAAUAUGUGGCAUUUACUAAAGACUUUCAUAACUUAAAGUGACUUAAAGGUAAUUUUGUACAUCUACUAAGUGACCAUUUCAGGGACGACAUGUGCAAGCAAAAGAACUACCACUUUGAUGGCUGUUUAUUUAAUGUGCUAAGUUUACCAAACAGGUUCAUUUACUUACUGGAUAUUGCUAUAUUUCUGUAUAUUAUUCAGAGUAAAUGAUACAUAUCUAUAAAAACACACAUAACUUUAGAUUUCUGUUUUCUUCUUUGCAAAGUUCCCCAUGCAGCUUGUAAAAAGUAGAUCCGGCCAAGUGGUCGUUUAGAAUAGAGCCUGGUGUGCCUCAAGUUUGCACGUCUAAAUAUAGCAUCUGUCCCGCAAGAUCUUCAGGCCACCGGGGCUGCCUCCUAAUGUCACUUUACAAAGAAAAGUCGAGUCAUUUCUCUCCCUGUCUCUCUCUUUUCCUUGCACGUUAAGCAGGGGCUGGCUGAACACACUCACGCGCAUGCACGCACCUACGGAUACAAUUUUUAGGUAUUUUUUCCCCAUUUAAAUGAUUUGCUAUCGCAGUUACUCCAUCUUUUAUCUCUCAAAUAGUUUCAACCCUGUUAAUGCAGGCAUGUACUUUUUUCUUAUCAGCCCCUCGGCAGCAUUUGUGAUUCAUAGCAGCCAUCACCGUGAUAAUAAACUCAUUCACAAUACUAACAAACGCGGGGGCUCCCAGUUAUUUACGUGGCAAAUUCACUGCAAGGCUGGGCUGUGGAACAGGGGAGAAUCAAGAUGGUGUUGAUUGAUAAAUUGACAGGUUAAUUUACAAGUGGAUAAUAGGAGUUAGACCCGGAGGGAGACAGGGGAGCAUCUGAAGUCUAGCUUGGUUACACUGCCAUCUGUCUGAAGUCCCGAAAUCUGCAGGACGGCGGGCUGACGGGAAUCACAGACAUGCACAUUCUUCAUAACUUAAAGACAAAGACCACCAUUGACUCCUGUCUGAUGGGUUUCCAGCCUGUGAUCUUCCCACAGCGGACCCUCAGCAUGUCAAAAAACAAUGCCACGUCCCAGGGCGGCUCAUCGGCCCUGCUUCCAAUGUGAUUUAGAAUAAGUUAUUUUGCCUGUUGCAAAACGAAACAAACCAAAUUGUUUUCCAGAUGAUAUUUCACAAAUAUUAAUAGUCCUUUGGUUGCUGAUGGCCGAAAUGUAUUCUUUCAAGUUUCAGAGGCCUUCGGUAUGUCUUUGUUCUGGGGGUGUAUGUCAUCGCCACCCCUCAAAAUAUUAUUUUUCUUUAAAAAAAAUCCUUGGUAUUAAAUGUGGCCGGUCUAGCUGUUUAGAAGCUAUGAUGAAACGAAUUCUGUGAAUCUCAGAUUAAAUA